UACGAAGGGUGCAAACGUUGCUCGGAAUUAUUGGGCGUAAAGCGCACGUAGGCGGCUCUGCAAGUCGGAUGUGAAAUCCCUCGGCUCAACCAAGGAAGUGCAUCCGAAACUGCGGAGCUUGAGUACUUAAGAGGAUCGCGGAAUUCCCGGUGUAGAGGUGAAAUUCGUAGAUAUCGGGAGGAACACCAGUGGCGAAGGCGGCGAUCUGGGAAGAUACUGACGCUGAGGUGCGAAAGCUAGGGGAGCAAACAGG
rnacentral:rRNA from 1 species